rnacentral:rRNA from 1 species
GGAUGCGAUCAUACCAGCACUAAAGCACCGGAUCCCAUCAGAACUCCGAAGUUAAGCGUGCUUGGGCGAGAGUAGUACUAGGAUGGGUGACCUCCUGUGAAGUCGUCGUGUUGCAUUCC